UGACUGUGAUGCAGACAAGUGUUAGAGUCAUGUGACUGUGAUGCAGACAGGUGUUAGAGUCAUGUGACUGAUGCAGACAGGUAUUAGAGUCAUGUGACUGUGAUGCAGACAAGUGUUAGAGUCAUGUGACUGAUGCAGACAGGUAUUAGAGUCAUGUGACUGUGAUGCAGACAGGUGUUAGAAUCAUGUGACUGUGAUGCAGACAGGUGUUAGAGUCAUGUUACUGAUGCAGACAGGUGUUAGAGUCAUGUGACUGUGAUGCAGACAGGUGUUAGAAUCAUGUGACUGUGAUGCAGACAGGUGUUAGAAUCAUGUGACUGAUGCAGACAGGUAUUAGAGUCAUGUGACUGUGAUGCAGACAGGUGUUAGAAUCAUGUGACUGUGAUGCAGACAGGUGUUAGAGUCAUGUUACUGAUGCAGACAGGUGUUAGAGUCAUGUGACUGUGAUGCAGACAGGUGUUAGAAUCAUGUGACUGUGAUGCAGACAGGUGUUAGAAUCAUGUGACUGUGAUGCAGACAGGUGUUAGAGUCAUGUUACUGAUGCAGACAGGUGUUAGAGUCAUGUGACUGAUGCAGACAGGUGUUAGAGUCAUGUGACUGAUGCAGACAGGUAUUAGAGUCAUGUGACUGUGAUGCAGACAGGUGUUAGAAUCAUGUGACUGUGAUGCAGACAGGUGUUAGAGUCAUGUUACUGAUGCAGACAGGUGUUAGAGUCAUGUGACUGUGAUGCAGACAGGUGUUAGAAUCAUGUGACUGUGAUGCAGACAGGUGUUAGAAUCAUGUGACUGAUGCAGACAGGUAUUAGAGUCAUGUGACUGUGAUGCAGACAGGUGUUAGAAUCAUGUGACUGUGAUGCAGACAGGUGUUAGAGUCGUGACUGUGAUGCAGACAGGUGUUAGAGUCAUGUGACUGUGAUGCAGACAGGUGUUAGAAUCAUGUGACUGUGAUGCAGACAGGUGUUAGAAUCAUGUGACUGAUGCAGACAGGUAUUAGAGUCAUGUGACUGUGAUGCAGACAGGUGUUAGAAUCAUGUGACUGUGAUGCAGAC